AGCGCUGCGCGACCUAACCCCCACUGCCAAUCGAAACCUAGCGCUCUCUUCUACAAUCUCGCUCUCUGCACCGGUGCACCUAGUCACUCACGUUCUUGAGUCUGGAGGCCGUUCCUCCCAAGCUCCCACCACCUCAAAGCCUUCCUCCCAACACCGAAGCCCUUUCACACACUGCUCCCAGGACCUUUUCGCCCACCAGUGCACCACGAAGCCCCAGCCACAGUCAGCACCACCCUCACAGGCUCGCACCCAGCAGUUGCACACCACCACCCAGCGGACAGAGCACCGUUUCUGGCCACCCACGCAGCAGUAGCACAGCACGACAUCACCACCCACUGACCCAGCAGCCCAGUAUAGCACCACGCUAAUGACGCCACCACCCAGCAGCGUUUCUAGCUACCACCCAGCAGCGUUUUCCAGUCCCCACCCAACCACCGAUUCAAGUCAUUUAAAGUCAAUAUGGAGCCCGAGCCACCGAGUCAGUCUCAUUCGUCAUUGGUACCCCUAAUCAUCUCUCUCGGUGUUCUUCCUUGUAAUUUAUUUUAUUUGGUGAAAAGUCUUUGAUUUUUAUCUGGUUAUGAGUUCUAACUUGAAAACCCUUUUGUUUUUUUGGCUCAAAUUUGACAACCCUUUUGGUAUGAUUCUCUGUUAGUGAUAAUUGGCGGUUAAAGUUUGAAGCUUGUGAUGCUGAUAAUUUAUUGUGGAUUAUGAUGUUCAUUCAUUGAUAAUUUAGUUGUAAGCUAUGGUUCUGUCUUCAUGCAUAAUCCACGUAACAGCUUUUAGAUUGAUCAGGAAAUAAGAUUAAAUAGCAUGAGUUUAAUUUGUGGAUU